rnacentral:rRNA from 1 species
AGCUGUCCUUAGUACGAGAGGACCGGGAUGGACGCACCGCUGGUGUACCAGUUGUCUUGCCAAAGGCAUAGCUGGGUAGCUACGUGCGGACGGGAUAAGUGCUGAAAGCAUCUAAGCAUGAAGCCCCCCUCAAGAUGAGAUUUCCCAUGGCGCAAGCUAGUAAGAUCCCUGAAAGAUGAUCAGGUUGAUAGGUCAGAGGUGGAAGCGUGGCGACAUGUGGAGCUGACUGAUACUAAUAGAUCGAGGACUUAACCAAC